AUACAUUCUCAUUAUCAGUUCCCACCUCUAACCUCUUCCUCUUCUCUACACAAGCCCACAUCAGUUCCCACCUCUUCCUCUUCUAUACAUUACACGAACCCACAUAAACCCUACACCUCCCAUCCUUUCAGCAAGUCCGAUCUUUUGUUCACCGGUAGGAGCACGCCGCUCGUUUGCUCGCCGCAAGUUCCCAUCGGCGGUCUCGUAUCCAAGAAUCUACAGGUGCUCGUUCUUAAUAUUGCAUUUGAAGCACAAGAAUGACCAGCACCCGGGCUGUUUCCAGGUCUUCUGGGUUUGAACGCAUCAGCAACUGCUUCUGAAUUAGAAUACGACCCUUGUUUGGUGAACGAAUGGCCUGCUCCGGGACUGCUACCUAGGGUGAACGAAUGGCCUGCUUUGGUGCAGCUGUUAAAGGGUUUUGCAAUGCAUUAGAGUCAGUUGUAUACUGAUAGUUAAAGGCUCAAAGCCAACACAAGUGGCAAAGGGUGAGCAUGUCGCCUGGGUGUAAGAUCUCAAAAAGCGCAGGCUCGAGACAAGCAAGGCGCACGUCCGGUCCAGGCCAUUGUUAGGUGCUUCACACUUGUUUUCGGCUGUUUUACACUAGUCUAGAUUGUUUAGACUGAUUCAAAGCGUUUGAAACUACUUUUGGCGGUUAAGACAAGUUUUUUACCGGUUCAAGCCUGUUUGUUCCUGGUUUAAAGGAAUCUACUAGCAUAUCUUCUUGAAGAAGAAAGGAACCUACUUGCAACUCGUCUUGACGAAGAAAGGAAAGCAAGGGAAGAACUUCAAAAACAACUUCAAGAAUUUAUGAAGAAUUGGCGUCCUCCCUCUAAUUAGAUGUAGUUUUUGAUAUCUAUUUUGAAUUAUGUUAAAUUGUAUUAGCUUACAGUUUAAACAUAUUGGAACUUGCGUUGUGACGCAUGAUUUUUGAAUUUAUGUCA